rnacentral:tRNA from 1 species
GCCUUCCUAGUGUAGUGGUCAGCACGCUCGGCGCGUAUUCUGGAAGUCCGUGGUUCGAGUCCCGGCGAGGGCA